GAUGAACGCUGGCGGCGUGCCUAAUACAUGCAAGUCGAGCGAACGGACGAGAAGCUAGCUUCUCUGAUGUUAGCGGCGGACGGGUGAGUAACACGUGGAUACCCUACCUAUAAGGCUGGGAUAACUUCGGGAAACCGGAGCUCAUACCGGAUGAUAUUUUGAACCUCAUGGUUCAAAAGUGAAAGACGGUCUUGCUGACACUUAUAGAUGGAUCCGCGCUGCAUUAGCUAGUUGGUAAGGUAACGGCUAACCAAGGCAACGAUGCAUAGCCGACCGGAGAGGUGGAUCGGCCACCUGGGAACUGAAACACGCCCCAGACUCCUACGGGAGGCAGAAGAAGGGAAUCUCCGGCAAUGGGCGAAGGCUGGACGGAGAAACGCGGGGUGAGGGAGGAAGGUCUUGGGAUGUUAAAACUCGUUUAUUGGGGAAGAACAGAUGGGUAAGUAACAGUGCACAUCGUGACGGUACCUAAUCAGAAAGCCACGGCUAACUACGUG
rnacentral:rRNA from 1 species